AUGACUGAGCUGAAGGCGAAGGGUCCCCGCGCUGCCCACGUGGCAGGCACAGCGCCCUCGCCUACCCAAGUCGGAGCCCCUCUGCGGGGACGCCCAGACGCGGGCUCCUUCCAGGCGGGCGAGGCCUCGGGCCCGACCCCCACAGCCUCGGGCCUCCCCCUCUCCCUGGACGGGCUGAUCUUCCCUCAGCCCUGCCAGGCUCAGGACCUGGACGGGAAGACGCUCGACCCAGAGUCGCUGGCAGGCGUGGAGGGGGCGUAUUCCAGAGGGGAAGCCGCAGAGGGCGCUGCUGUGAGACCCCCAGAGAAGGACGGCGGAUUGCUGGACAGCGUCCUGGACACCCUGCUGGCGCCCCCAGGCCCUGAGCAGAGCCCCGCCAGCCCCGCCGUCUGCGAGGCCCCCAGCCCUUGGUGCCUCUUUGGCCCUGAGCUUGCCCAAGACGCCCGGGCUGCGCCCGCCGCCCAGGGGGUCCUGCCUACACUCAUGAGCCGCCCGGAGAGCAAGGCUGGCGACACCCCCGGGGUGGCCGCCGGCCAGAAGGUGCUGCCCCGGGGCCUGGCGCCGUGCCGGCAGCUGCUGGCCCCGACGGCCUCGAGCCACCCCUGGCCCGCGCCCGCGCCGAGGCCGUCUCCGCAGCCCGCGGUGGUGGAGCUGGAGGAGGACGACUCGGAUCCCGAGGGCUCCUCGGGGCCGCCCCUGAAGGGCAAAGCCCGGCCCGCGGGAGGAGACGCGAUCAGCGCUCCUGGGACCGCCGCGGGAGGCGUCGCCCCGGUGCCCAAAGAAGAUGCCCGCUUCUCGGCGCCCAGGGCCGCCCCGACGGAGCAUGACGCGCCCGCCGCGCCCGGGCGCGCCCCGGUGGCCACCGCGGUGAUGGACUUCAUCCACGUGCCCAUCCUGCCGCUCAACUCGGCCUUCCUGGCCGCCCGCACCCGGCAGCUGCUGGAGGGCGACAGCUAUGACAGCGGGCCCGCCGGCGCCUUCGCCCCGCCGCGGGGCUCGCCCUCCGCCUCGGCCGCCCCGGGCGCGCCUGGCGACUUCCCCGACUGCGCGUACCAGCCCGAAGCCGAGCCCAAGGACGACGCGUUCUCGCUCUACGGGGACCCGCAGCCGCCCGCCCUGAAGAUCAAGGAGGAGGAGGAGGGGGGCGCCGAGGCCGCCGCGCGCUCCCCGCGGCCGUACCUGCUGGCGGGGGCCAGCCCCGCCGUCUUCGCCGACUUCCCGCUGGCGCCGCCGUCCAGGCUGGGGGAGGUGGCGGUGCCCGCGGCCGCCACGGGGGCCCCAGGCUCGUCCGCGGCCGCGUCGGGGUCCGCCCUGGAGUGCGUCCUGUACAAGGCGGAGGGCGCGCCCCCCCAGCCGGGCCCGUUCGCGCCGCCGCCCUGCAAGGCUCCGGCCGCGGGCGCCUGCUUCCUGCCGCGGGACCUGCCGUCCACCUCGUCCGCUGCCGCCGCCGGGGCCGCCCCUGCACUCUACCCGCCGCUCGGCCUCAACGGGCUCCCCCAGCUCGGCUACCAGGCCGCGGUGCUCAAGGAGGGCCUGCCGCAGGUCUACCAGCCCUAUCUCAACUACCUGAGAUCUGUGCAGUCCCAAGGCGAACCAGCCGCGAGUUCUAAAGUGCAGCGUCACUCUGGGUCCGCCGUAGCCCCGCGGAGCCGAAAGGGUGCGGCGAGUCCGGGGUUUUAUAAAAUGCUUUUCUUCCUAGAAGGACAGUUACCGAGAACGGGCAUUCCGGAGAGGAGAUGGCCCGAUUCAGAAGCCAGCCAGAGCCCACAGUACAGCUUUGAGUCAUUACCUCAGAAGAUUUGUUUAAUCUGUGGGGAUGAAGCAUCAGGCUGUCAUUAUGGUGUCCUCACCUGUGGAAGCUGUAAGGUCUUCUUUAAAAGGGCAAUGGAAGGACAGCAUAACUACUUAUGUGCUGGAAGAAACGAUUGCAUUGUUGAUAAAAUCCGCAGAAAAAACUGCCCAGCAUGUCGCCUUAGAAAGUGCUGUCAGGCUGGCAUGGUUCUUGGAGGCCGAAAGUUUAAAAAGUUCAAUAAAGUUAGAGUUAUGAGAACACUAGAUGCUGUUGCCCUCCCACAGCCAGUGGGUAUUCCAAAUGAAAGCCAAGCCCUAAGCCAGAGAAUCACUUUUUCACCAAGCCAAGACUUGCAGUUGAUCCCCCCACUGAUCAACUUGCUCAUGAGCAUUGAACCAGAUAUGGUCUAUGCAGGACAUGACAACAGCAAACCUGAUACCUCCAGCUCUCUGCUGACAAGUCUGAAUCAGCUUGGCGAGAGACAGCUUCUCUCAGUGGUCAAGUGGUCUAAGUCACUGCCAGGUUUUCGGAACUUACAUAUUGAUGACCAAAUAACUCUCAUCCAGUAUUCUUGGAUGAGUUUAAUGGUAUUUGGACUAGGAUGGAGAUCUUAUAAGCAUGUCAGUGGACAGAUGCUAUAUUUUGCACCUGAUCUAAUACUAAAUGAACAGCGGAUGAAGGAGUCAUCAUUCUAUUCAUUAUGCCUAACCAUGUGGCAGAUCCCACAGGAGUUUGUGAAGCUUCAAGUCAGCCAAGAAGAGUUCCUCUGUAUGAAAGUAUUGCUACUUCUUAAUACAAUUCCUUUGGAAGGACUAAGAAGCCAAAACCAGUUUGAAGAAAUGAGAUCAAGUUACAUUAGAGAGCUCAUCAAGGCAAUUGGUUUGAGACAAAAAGGAGUUGUCCCUAGCUCACAGCGUUUCUAUCAGCUUACAAAACUUCUUGAUAACUUGCAUGAUCUUGUCAAACAACUUCAUCUGUACUGCUUGAAUACAUUUAUCCAGUCCCGGGCACUGAGUGUUGAAUUUCCAGAGAUGAUGUCUGAGGUUAUCGCUGCACAAUUACCCAAGAUCUUGGCAGGGAUGGUGAAACCUCUUCUGUUUCAUAAAAAGUGA
rnacentral:lncRNA from 1 species